GGGCGGCUGGCCUAAUGGUAAGGCGUCUGAUUUCGGUUGAGUUUUCCUCAAAAUAAGUUCUCAGAAGACUGCAGGUUCGAUCCCUGCGUCGCUCA
rnacentral:tRNA from 1 species